rnacentral:rRNA from 1 species
CCUACGGGAGGCUGCAGUGGGGAAUAUUGGACAAUGGGCGAAAGCCUGAUCCAGCCAUGCCGCGUGUGUGAAGAAGGCCUUCGGGUUGUAAAGCACUUUCAGUGGGGAAGAAAGCCUUGGGGCUAAUACCCUCGAGGAAGGACAUCACCCACAGAAGAAGCACCGGCUAACUCCGUGCCAGCAGCCGCGGUAAUACGGAGGGUGCGAGCGUUAAUCGGAAUUACUGGGCGUAAAGCGCGGUGAGGCGGUCUGAUAAGCCGGUUGUGAAAGCCCCGGGCUCAACCUGGGAACGGCAUCCGGAACUGUCAGGCUAGAGUGCAGGAGAGGAAGGUAGAAUUCCCGGUGUAGCGGUGAAAUGCGUAGAGAUCGGGCGGAAUACCAGUGGCGAAGGCGGCCUUCUGGACUGACACUGACGCUGAGGUGCGAAAGCGUGGGUAGCAAACAGGAUUAGAGACCCCUGUAGUC